rnacentral:rRNA from 1 species
UGGCGAACGGGUGAGUAUAGCAUCGGAACGUGCCAAGUAGUGGGGGAUAACCAAGCGAAAGUUUGGCUAAUACCGCAUAAGCUCUAAGGAGGAAAGUAGGGGACCGUAAGGCCUUACGCUAUUUGAUCGGCCGAUGUCGGAUUAGCUAGUUGGUGAGGUAAUGGCUCACCAAGGCGAUGAUCCGUAGCGGGUCUGAGAGGACGAUCCGCCACACUGGGACUGAGACACGGCCCAG